rnacentral:misc_RNA from 1 species
UUGUAAUUUAAUUGGUUGUUACUCUUUUUGGCCCCAUAGGCGUUUAAUCUUGUACAAAUUUUACUCUUUUAGAAGGUUAUAGCAGCCGUCAGUGUUUAUGGCAGAUUCGGCAUUCAGUCGUGAAAAUUUAGGGAAAUCGGGUAAAAUCGGGUAAAACGACAGUGAGCCCCUGCCCUUCUUCAUCUUGGCAGCUAUGUUCUUUUUAUUUGUUUAUUUCUGUGGAUGUUGUUUCUCUGCUUGCUGUUGCUUGCCAUCCAAUUUGGAUAUGAAAUUUCAUAUUAGAAACUUGAAAUUUUUAAAAA